GAUGAACGCUGGCGGCGUGCCUAAUACAUGCAAGUCGAGCGAACAGACGAGGAUCUUGCUCCUCUUACGUUAGCGACGGACGGGUGAGUAACACGUGUAUAACCUACCUAUAAGACUGGGAUAACUUCGGGAAACCGGAGCUAAUACCGGAUAAUAUAUUGAACCGCAUGGUUCAAUAGUGAAAGACGGUUUUGCUGUCACUUAUAGAUGGAUCCGCGCCGCAUUAGCUAGUUGGUAAGGUAACGGCUUACCAAGGCAACGAUGCGUAGCCGACCUGAGAGGGUGAUCGGCCACACUGGAACUGAGACACGGUCCAGACUCCUACGGGAGGCAGCAGUAGGGAAUCUUCGGCAAUGGGCGAAAGCCUGACGGAGCCACGCCGCGUGAGUGAUGAAGGUCUUCGGAUCGUAAAGCUCUGUUAUUAGGGAAGAACAAAUGUGUAAGUAAAUAUGCACGUCUUGACGGUACCUAAUCAGAAAGCCACGGCUAACUACGUG
rnacentral:rRNA from 1 species